GGCACUUUGGCCGAGUGGUCUAAGGCGCCGUGUUCAGGUGUUCAGUUGCUCGCAACUGCCCCUCUUCGCGGUCUAGUAAUAGGCGAGGGUUCGAAUCCCUCAGGUGUCA
rnacentral:tRNA from 1 species